GUCUGCGUGGAGCCGACCUUGAAAUACCACCCUUUAAUGUUUGAUGUUCUAACGUGGACCCGUUAUCCGGGUUGCGGACAGUGUCUGGUGGGUAGUUUGACUGGGGCGGUCUCCUCCUAAAGAGUAACGGAGGAGCACGAAGGUUGGCUAAUCCUGGUCGGACAUCAGGAGGUUAGUGCAAUGGCAUAAGCCAGCUUGACUGCGAGCGUGACGGCGCGAGCAGGUGCGAAAGCAGGUCAUAGUGAUCCGGUGGUUCUGAAUGGAAGGGCCAUCGCUCAACGGAUAAAAGGUACUCCGGGGAUAACAGGCUGAUACCGCCCAAGAGUUCAUAUCGACGGCGGUGUUUGGCACCUCGAUGUCGGCUCAUCACAUCCUGGGGCUGAAGUAGGUCCCAAGGGUAUGGCUGUUCGCCAUUUAAAGUGGUACGCGAGCUGGGUUUAGAACGUCGUGAGACAGUUCGGUCCCUAUCUGCCGUGGGCGCUGGAGAACUGAGGGGGGCUGCUCCUAGUACGAGAGGACCGGAGUGGACGCAUCACUGGUGUUCGGGUUGUCAUGCCAAUGGCACUGCCCGGUAGCUAAAUGCGGAAGAGAUAAGUGCUGAAAGCAUCUAAGCACGAAACUUGCCCCGA
rnacentral:rRNA from 1 species